UCCAUCAACUGAAUAGUAUACCUUGUGCCCAAUAGAUACCGUUUCAACCCUCAGCCCCCUCCCAUCCUCCCUACCAAGCUCCCAGUGAUAACAUGCCUAAAUCAUUACCCCGAACCUCUCCCUCAAAUCAUCCUCCCUAUCCCCAAUCAGCCAAACCAGAAACUUAGGUGGCAUUCCACCUCACCUCUUUGGCCUUCACCUCCCUCGUCUAAGCACAAUAUCCUAU
rnacentral:lncRNA from 1 species